AACGAACGCUGGCGGCAUGCCUAACACAUGCAAGUCGAACGGGAUCCUAGCUUGCUAGGUGAGAGUGGCGGACGGGUGAGUAACACGUGGGAAUCUGCCUUUUGGUUCGGGAUAACCGCGGGAAACUGCGGCUAAUACCGAAUGCCCUCGAGAGAGGAAAGAUUUAUCGCCAGAAGAGGAGCCCGCGUCCGAUUAGGUAGUUGGUGGGGUAAAGGCCUACCAAGCCGACGAUCGGUAGCUGGUCUGAGAGGAUGAUCAGCCACACUGGGACUGAGAUACGGCCCAGACUCCUACGGGAGGCAGCAGUGGGAAUAUUGGACAAUGGGGCAACCCUGAUCCAGCAAUGCCGCGUGAGUGAUGAAGGCCUUAGGGUUGUAAAGCUCUUUUGCCAGGGAAGAUGAUGACUGUACCUGGAGAAUAAGCCCCGGCUAACUUCGUGCCAGCAGCCGCGGUAAU
rnacentral:rRNA from 1 species